ensembl:lncRNA
AUGGAGGCGCCUCUGAAGGCUCUUUUUGGGGUAACGGAAGAGAGCCUUCUGAUAUCCCUGGUUGAGGGUCACUCCAACCACACCUCCUCCUCCAGCUCCUCCGAGUUGAGCUGUGCUAUCGUGGGGGAGGUGGUACACCAGCUUAACUCUGGCCUCUCAGUGGCCAUUCAGGCCAGCCCGGGGAGUUGCCCCCCUAUGGACAGUCAGGACAUAGCAGCAGGCAAGGAGGUCAUUCGGGUAGCCUCGGUUCAGAUCCUGGCCGAGCUACAGAGCCAAACAUCUGAGCCAGAGUGGGUAGGGUUUAUCGAGCCCCUCAUGGACCCUGUGACCGAUGAUGUGCUGGAGGCCAUUGUCGGCACAAUGGACAAAAUGGCACAGGACUUCAACAUCCUAUUGGAUCUGGCCAAGAAGAUGACAAUCUUGGGGUCUAAAUUUCUGACCAAUCUUCAAUGUGACCUAGAUGUUGAGUGUCCAUCUGGGAAGGAAGGGACCACUCACUUUCUCAAAGAGACUGGAUCCUCUACCAGUGUGGCGUCCAGAAAGAUUCAGACCCUCUCUAGCCCCGACUUUCAGUCUAAAGCCCUGAAGGCGGUGAGCACCAUCCUUACAAGGAAAGUCAGCAGCUCUUCUGGCAUGGCUCCUUCCUCUAGGCCUUCUAGUGCUGCUCCUAGCCUUACUGAAGCCCCGCUGAAUACCAGCUGCACAGCCCUGACAUCUGUAACCUCCACUGCCACAGUGAUUGUUAAGGCAUUUGUGGGAGGCAUGGAGACGAUAGCAUCAUUUGAAGACACAUGUGAAGCAGUUGAUUGGCCAGUUCCUGUAAAUGACCACAAAACAGGGUCUUCACAGAAGAUAACCUUCUCUCUAGCCGGCACACUCUAUGGCCGUAUACGAGCAAAGCUGAGGGACCUUUUAACUCUAGCCGCUCGAGAAGAAGGUGUGGCAAAGGAUGCUUCUCUUCGGGAGUCUUCAGACACCCUGGAAAAGGCAACUGUUUCAACUGUUGAGGUCCAGUUACCCAGCACCGAACACAGUAGAGUUCCCAGAGAGAGCCAACCAAUACCAGCUCUCUGUCUCUCCAAUCUGGAUACCAGUACUCAAGAAGUUCUUAGCAGUGUUUUUUCCAUCUACAAGUCAGAGUUAUCAAAAGUGGAGAGUAAAUCCUUAGCCGUUGUCAGUUCAUCUGAUGAGUCCCUAGAGGCUUGUUGGUUUGUUGAUGGUGUCCUAUCAAAGCUUGAUGACUAUACUAUUUCCCAGUCACCCUCACCCAAUGAAGACUUGAGCGUGAGUACUCAAUAUUCUCAACUGAGCUCAGAAGAGAGUGUCAGAAUCACAGAGUCCUCAACUAGUCUGAUUCAGAGCAUUAAGAAGCUCUCUAGCAAUGACUUUCAGACUCAGGCAGAAGAGGCAGUGAGUAAAGUGCUGAUGAGAUCCAGUCAUUCCUUUAUCACAGAAAUCAGCCAUACUGGUCUUCAGAAAAGUCUGCAGAAUGGCUUAUCAUCUAGCUCACCAUCAGAGAUCCAUGUCCUUUCAGAAUCCAUGUCCUCCAUGUCCUCUGAGAAUACAGCCUCUGGAUUAGUGGAAACCUUUGUCAAAGGAAUGGCGACUAUUUUCCAGAAAAAUGAGUCCACUGACACUGUGCUACUGGAAAGAAGUGGGAGAGUUUCACAGUGCUUCCACGGGGGCUCCCAACUGGAUUAUACUGAAUUGAGUGUUAAAAUAUCAGAGGAGAAGCUUUGGUCAACAGCUAAGAACAUCUGCGUCAGUAUGAAGAACACACUUAAGGAUUUCUUCACAGGGCUGAAGCCAUCCGGAUCCGAAAGGACAGAAAUGGCUCCUUCCAAAGAGACCCUUGGGGAAAUCCUGGUUGCUAUCCAGAGUGAAAUCUCAAACUUCGGGCGAAUGAAGGAUUCCAGGGAGCUCCUUCAGAUCAAUGAUAUGGUAGGAACUAUGCUGAAGGAGAUUGAGAAAAGUGAGGAUGACAGUGAACAAGUCUGCCAAGACAUCCCUCGAACCUGUUCAUCUUUAUCCACUUCUUUAAAUGGUCGUAGUUCCUUGUCCAGCUCUUCAAAGGGUCCUAGGUCAGAGUGUGAGUUAGAGAUCAACCUCCCUGGCACUCCCAUCCCUGACGAAGUGCCUUUUGAUCUGACCUGCCCCAUCGUCAGGAGCUCCUGCAUCGACACCAGGGACUCUAAAAUGCCAGAGAUUUCUACAAGUGACCUAAAGACAAAGAUGAUGGCACACACAGAUGAACCCCUGCAUCGUAACAGUCCAAUGACUGACAGCAGCCGACCACCGAGUGCUAAAGUCUCUUUUCGAUCCUGCACUCCGUCUUUCACCAGCAAGGGAACCUCUUUGGUACCAAAGGGAGAGGGGAUUGACAUUGAAGAGAAGGAGGUGUGUAUCCCCAGCAGCUCUGGCCAUCUGAGGGAGCUCUUAAUCAUCCCGGACAUCAGCAGUGCCACUGCAUUCCCACUGCAGUACUUGAUGGACUCCAGCAAAGAUGAUGGCAUCUGUUUUGUCACCAUACUGGUGAUAAGGUUGCUAUCGGAGAUCAGACCCACAGCCCUAGAUGGACCCUCCCAACAGGCAGCAGAUCUGACAGAAACAUCUCAGCAACUCAUCAGACAAGUCCUGUCUGAGUUCUGUGCUCCAUCUAGAUUAUCCAGGACACAGGCAUAUUCCCAGAACCUGAACAUCCAAAGGGUGUUCAGAGGUGUACAUAAAAACCUCAUGGAGGAGUUUGGCUCUUAUAACACCCUGCAAGCAGCUAUGUCCUCCCAGGACCCUGCAUUUGACAGAGUCCUGGUAAAGUCCUUGACCCAGCAGCUGGUACAGGGAUGCAAGGAGGCGUCAAGACCAGCUUCUGCUGCAACAAACCCAUCAGACCAGGCUGAGAUGGAGAGGGGGGCUGAGCAGAAAGCAAGAAGGAGCUUCCUUUGCUUUUCAAUGACCAAACUCAGGAUCAACUUCAAGCGUUCCAAGAGAGGAAACAAAAAGGACUGCCAUUCAGUCCAAGACCAGACUGAGAUUCCCUCUACUGAUGGACAUUGCAUAGAGCGUGAAAUGGGAGGAUCCCCCGGAUGA